rnacentral:rRNA from 1 species
GAUGAACGCUAGCGGAAGGCUUAAUACAUGCAAGUCGAGCGGUAGGUGGCUUCGGCCAUUGAGAGCGGCGCACGGGUGAGUAACGCGUACAUGACCUGCCUGUCAGAAGGGGAUAGCCCUGGGAAACUGGGAUUAAUACCCUAUGGUAUUGAUAUUAUGAAUGAUAUCAAUUAAAGUUGAGGCGCUGACAGAUGGAUGUGCGUCUGAUUAGCUAGUUGGUAGGGUAACGGCCUACCAAGGCGACGAUCAGUAGGGGGCGUGAGGGCGUGGUCCCCCACACGGGUACUGAGACACGGACCCGACUCCUACGGGAGGCAGCAGUAAGGAAUAUUGGUCAAUGCCCGCAAGGGUGAACCAGCCAUUCCGCGUGGAGGAUGAAGGCCCUAUGGGUUGUAAACUUCUUUUAGAUGGGAAGAAAAUGCUAGAUGUAUCUGGUACUGACGGUACCAUCAGAAUAAGCACCGGCUAACUCCGUGCCAGCCGCCGCGGUAAUAC